GAUUUCUGGGCAUCAGUUUCUGGCCGGCCACGGUUUCGUGUGUUAGUGCUUGAAGCUUUGUCCAUCCUUCCAAUCGCUAGUUACUAUUCUUCAUUGAUUGGUAAUUAGUAUUGGAUCUUUUACUUUGAAAAAAUUAGAGUGUUUCAAGCAGGCUUUAUGCUAUGAAUACAUUAGCAUGGAAUAAUAAUUUAGGACUUUGGUCUUAUUUUGUUGGUUUCUAGGACUAAAGUAAUGAUUGAUAGGGACAGUUGGGGGUGCUAGUAUUCAGCGGCCAGAGGUGAAAUUCUUGGAUUCGCUGAAGACUAACUUAUGCGAAAGCAUU
rnacentral:rRNA from 1 species